ACCAUUCUGAACCAUAGGGUUCUUCAAUGUGCACAGCUGUCAAUGCAGUUGGUAUUUCAUCUGCCUGGUACGAGUUAUCAAAUCUAUACCAACAUCUUAGUGCUGUAUGACCUGAUUUCUUACAGAUCUGGCAUUGCAGAGGGCCAUUACUUAUAGGCUUUGUAAUCUAUGUUUGUCUAUCACCAUUUGAACUUUGUGGUGGAUAAGACCUAACACUUUGAUACCUCUAUGAAGGGUUUGAAUAUGGUCUAAAUCCUUGUCCAUAGUUAGACUAGUUAUCCUUAUUAACCUGACCUUGCUGAGUUGAAUUCAGGUUAUUCAUUUUAUUUUGUUGAUUCAUUCCUACUUCUGUAAAAUUAUUUCCAUAUUCCCUUCUAUUGAGAGACUGACCUCUGCCAUAGCUAAAUCCCCCCCAAAUAUUUUCUCUUUGAUUUCUGGGAUUGACUUUCUGCAAACUUGUUCCAGUUCUUCUUUGCCCAUAAUAAGCCAAGUUAGUAUUGUACUCGUUCACAUAAUAUGUUUGCAAUCUGGUUUCAAAUCUCUCAAGUUGUGAGAUAACCUCAUCAUACUCUGGCUGGGGUUCAAGGCAAUACAUGGUUGUCCUGAAGGUUUCAUAUUCAUAAGCUAACCCUUCAAGUAUGCCAAACAUUCUGGUUAUAUCAUCAACAUGCUUUCCAAUUGCAUUUAAUUGAUCACAUAUGGUUUUGAAUUCUCGAAGGUAUUCACUUAAUGAUCUGUUUCUUUUCCUACAAGCCUGUAAUUUUCCUCUUUAACUCAAAUUCCUUUGUAGCAGACUUCUAUGUAAAUCUAUUUAUGAGAGCCUGCCAUACUCCGAAUGAGGUUUCUAAGCCAAUUAUCAGACUUAGAAUAUUUUUUGAUACCACACCACUUAUCCAGGAUGAUAUAAGCUGAUAAGUUUUUAUCCAAUCCAGGUGAUCAGGAUUCAUCACUUUUCCUAUCUCAGUCUGUAUCAUUUGAGUAGGAGGUUUUGAUGUCAUGGAUCGCCAACUCAUCAGUUCAGCUCAAGAUCGCCAGCUCAUCUUCUUUUCUAUUUUGAGCUUCGUUUAGAAGUUUGCGACAUUCCUCUGCUUCAGCUUCCUCUGCCUCAUCAGCUCGGCAGCAUGAAGAACCGCGUGGACGAGCUGAACGAGGAGACGUUCGCGUACAAGCAUACCAUGAUCGAUCUUGAGGAGAGAUUUGAAUCCAUUGCUUACGAAGUCAAGCUUGAGCCGACGCCUGAUGGGGGGAGCAAGAACACAAUGACCAGCACGUACUAUGUCAAGGGCAACGUCAAGCUUGAAGAAGAAGAUAUCAAAGCCGGCAAAGAGAGAGCCUUGGGAAUGUACAAGAUCGCUGAAGCGUACCUCCUCCAAAACCCCAAUGCUUAUGUUUGAAACUUCAAGAGUGCUCUCUCAAUGAAUUUAGAGCAAUCCCCUCAAUAAGCACACAUGAUAUAUUGUGUUUUGUCUCAAAGUCGU